UAGAAAUGAGGUGAAAGAUGAAAUUGAGAGGACGAGGGUUGUUUUGGUGCUGGAUUUGGAGCGGCAGGGGUUAUUUUCUGGAGCAGGAGGUGGGAUUUGAGGUUUUGGGAGGGUAAAGGAUGAUGAAAAGUGUGUUUUUAAAUGUGAAGAUUUUUUAUUUAUAUCUGGUUGGAUGGCGGCAGGAAAACUGAAGAAUAUUAUGAAAGUCAAAGAGACUCACAACUUUCAAGCUCCAAAAAGGACAUAAAGGAUGAAAACGAUCAGAGCAGAAUUGUAAUAUGUGGGCUCUGCAGCUCACCGCUGGCCUAAAAUCGCUUUCCCAGCACAUCAAGAGCAGGCCUGGAGCUGUUCCUGCAGUCCUACAGACACUGUUUUAUGUGUUCUGAUACACGUGUUAAAAAUCA
ensembl:lncRNA